rnacentral:rRNA from 1 species
ACGGAGGGUGCAAGCGUUAAUCGGAAUUACUGGGCGUAAAGCGUGCGCAGGCAGUUUUGUAAGCCAGAUGUGAAAUCCCCGGGCUUAACCUGGGAAUGGCAUUUGGGACUGCAAGGCUGGAGUGCGGCAGAGGAGACUGGAAUUCCUGGUGUAGCAGGGAAAUGCGUAGAUAUCAGGAGGAACACCGAUGGCGAAGGCAGGUCUCUGGGCGGAAACUGACGCUAAU